UACGGAGGGUGCAAGCGUUAUCCGGAUUCACUGGGUUUAAAGGGUGCGUAGGCGGGCAGGUAAGUCAGUGGUGAAAUCUCCGGGCUUAACCCGGAAACUGCCGUUGAUACUAUCUGUCUUGAAUAUCGUGGAGGUAAGCGGAAUAUGUCAUGUAGCGGUGAAAUGCUUAGAUAAGACAUAGAACACCCAUUGCGAAGGCAGCUUACUACACGAUCAUUGACGCUGAGGCACGAAAGCGUGGGGAGCAAACAGG
rnacentral:rRNA from 1 species